UUUUUUAUUUUGUGUAUUAUUUGAUGUAAUUACCCGUAUUUGUGUAGUAUUCGAUUGGUUUUCCGGAUUGCUGCUGUUUGUGCUGGUGGCUGACAGAAGUGGCUCAAUCUGUACCAAGUUCAGUUUAAACCGUCACUGUCUCGUUGCGGACCAAAAUCCGCAACGACCGCAACAGCAAUAUAAUAUGUACGCAAAUAGCACGUCAAACCUUGCUGCCUCAACACGGCUUGUAAGCCGCAACACGCAGCAACGGGCCGCAACCUGUGCCAGCGUCAGCGCUGAAACAGGCUGCCGCAACGCCGCAACAGCCGCAACACGGCUUAUAAGCCGCAACACGCAGCAACGGGCCGCAACCAGUGCCAGCGUCCGCGCUAGCACACGCUGCCGCAACAGCCGCAACACGGCUUAUAAGCCGCAACACGCAGCAACGGGCCGCAACCAGUGCCAGUGUCAGCGCUGAAACAGGCUGCCGCAACGCCGCAACAGCCGCAACACGGCUUAUAAGCCGCAACAUGCAGCAACGGGCCGCAACCUGUGCCAGCGUCAGCGGUGAAACAGGGUGCCGCAACGCCGCAACAGCCGCAACACGGCUUAUACGCCGCAACACGCAGCAACGGGCCGCAACCAGUGCCAGUGUCAGCGCUGAAACAGGCUGCCGCAACGCCGCAACAGCCGCAACACGGCUUAUAUGCCGCAACAUGCAGCAACGGGCCGCAACCAGUGCCAGUGUCAGCGCAAACACAGGCUGCCGCAACGAAAAACAACGUUAGUUCCUUUUUGGACGCAGGAUGGAACAACUCAAAAACAUGCCUGCAUAUUCUAAAGAGCUGAAUGAGCGGGGAAUAUCGUAUUGGUGGCCAAUCCUUCUUAAACUGAGCAGCUACCCUCCGCUCUGUCCGUCUUAUAGCUAGCUACCUUUCGCUAGAUCUGCAAAUAUGUAUAACUAUCUUACUUAUCACCAUCCUUUUUCCCACUCCCAUUCCCACAACAACCUUGUACCAUUCCCAUAAAUAUGUUUGAAUAUCAUAAUCAAUCUCAUUCUCAGUACCAACUCCCAUUACUAUUUCCCGUACUGAAUAUCCCAGGGUUUACUUUCACCCCACCGACUGUGCACUUUACGCAAAAUCCUUUUUUAUCAGUGCGCUGCGGCAUAUUUCUCUCUGGUCAACAACAUCUGCCUAAGCAGCUAGACCAAAAUUGCAGACACGCAAUCGCUUCAUUGCUGUGUCACGUAAAGAUUUCUUUUAGCGAUAUUCGCGUGCGCUAGCCUUUUUCUGAUUGUUAAGGGCGAUAUGCCCGUACAUGCUGUUAUCUGAUAUACCGUUCCACUUGUUGCUCUUUUAUACCACUGUUUUUGCGCUUUUCUGGCACAGUUGCCGCCAUACAGUCUGAUUUCCUUCAUCAACAAAUCCCUGACUUGAAUUGCCGUCUCGUUUGUUGCCGUUUAUGCAUAUCUCCGUAAACACCGCAUAUUAGACUACGAAACCGGCCGGUCUUAUACCGUCGUGACCUUUCCAUUUGUUGUGCUCUGCCAUAAAUUAUGUAACAGCUGUCAAUCCUCCUGAUAGUUGUGGCAAACUAUCUCCUUGGUGGUGUGGAGUGACGGACACGUUGUUUGGAUCGUGUCCACAAUUUUGAAUCGUGCUUGAAUGGUGUUGAUUAUCGAGAUAUUGUGGAACGGCCAUGAGAACAGGAAUCGCGCAACCCUUAUUGCAACAUCCGAGACAAGCUCCGGUUUCUGUCUUGGAACCUUUCAGCGACCACAUUACUACCUUGGAACCUUGUGCAGCCGUCGAAAUAGUAUCAAACAAGAGGUGGACAAAGACAGCAGCAGCGGCCCAGCAACGGGAUUACCCAUUUUCGAGGCGUUGCUCUCUGCGGUCAUUAUCUGUACUGUGUAAGUGUGUUGCAUGAAUGUCCACUGUGUAAGUGUGUUCCAUAUAUUGCAUACUGUGUAAGGGCCCGUUCUGGCGUACACCUAUCUAUCUUAAUUGCUUAGCGAGAUUUGAGUUCAACCGGGGACAACCGCCUAAUUGCAUUAGGUCCCAAAAUUGCGUUCACGCAGUACACCUAUGCUAACGUUAAUUACCUAGCUCUUAAUUGGUAGAUAGCAAUGUACGGCCUGAACAGUGCUUUGCUAUCAAAAGGUACCUUUUGGUCGGCUCCGUAGACACAAUGGUUAAGACGUAUAGGAACCACUUGAGGUUCCUAUUUUGUGCUCAUCUUAAGACUUUUACAAUAGAAAAGAUUCCAAACAAUUAAUUAAUGGCUCCGUAUUGGCCCGUAACCCAUUUCCACAUAAUUUGAAAACGGACAUUAUCAUUAACUGGCAUUUCUGCUUCAGUGUGAUUGAACAGUUGCACGAUUUGUAGUCCUAAAAUUCCAAUACUCGUAUUUCACAUUGUUGUUGAUACCUUUUUGAUUGCGCUUUCACACAACUUUCCAAUUCCUAAAAUUAUUAACGGGCAUUCUGCUAAUUCAUAGUACGCACGAUCUGACAAUAUGAAUAUUGUUAACACUUUAUACGAACUUGCCGCAUUGUCGGCGGCCGAAACUGCAAAGUUAUGUAACACUACGGCAGAACUUCUGAAUCCCAAUAUGACUUGCACAAACGGAAUAAAUAUCGCGGAAAUUGUCGAAGAUGUCGUGACUAACGAUAUAUUUGGAGAAGAGUCCAUUGCAGAUGAACUUCGACGGAUCCGAACACCAAUUGAUCGCAAAGGCCGUUUCAAUUCGGUGACCGAAAUGCUGAGUUUUCCCAACCAAGAAUUCCGCCGCCACUUUCGACUGGAUCGGUCCACUUUUCAAGUUUUAUGUGAACAGCUGGCGCCACUGAUAUAUCCCGAAGUUACCAUCGACAUGCCUGCGACUGAUUGGGUGUUCACAAAUAACUGCAUUACUUUAUCAGUAGCAGUUUCCUUAUACAUUCUUGGACAUCGUGCGAGUUUCACAGUGGUUUCUGCUGUUUUUGGCAUCGGGAGGUCAACUGCUUAUGCAUAUUUUGCAAAAUUUUUGAUUGCUAUGAAGGGACGUUUUGGUGAUUCAUUAAACCAACCCCUUACGUCUGCCCAAGUCGAAAAAUAUGCGGAAGACUGCAGCACUGCUUUUCGUGAAAAAGGUGCAGUUUGGUGUCCAAAAAUUAUUGGCGCCGUGGAUGGUUCGCAUAUUUAUAUUAACGCCCCGUCUGAGGGCCCAGAAGGUUACUAUAACCGGAAGCAGAGAUACAGCGUUAUCUUACAGGCAGUUGCUUCCCCAUCUUGCGAAAUUUUGCACGCUGUAUUCGGGUUUGCCGGUCGUGUACAUGAUGCACCUGUGUACAAGAAUUCGGGAGUGUCGCAAUGGUUGCCCCCCAGCGCUACGUUGCUGGGUGACAGCGCGUACCCUUUCAGCCAGCAGCUGAUUACGCCAUUUCGCGACGAUGGCACACAGCGUUAUCUUACAGGCAGUUGCUUCCCCAUCUUGCGAAAUUUUGCACGCUGUAUUCGGGUUUGCCGGUCGUGUACAUGAUGCACCUGUGUACAAGAAUUCGGGAGUGUCGCAAUGGUUGCCCCCCAGCGCUACGUUGCUGGGUGACAGCGCGUACCCUUUCAGCCAGCAGCUGAUUACGCCAUUUCGCGACGAUGGCACACUCGACCGGAGCAAAAAACACUACAAUAGGAUGAUAUCGUGUAAACGGAGUUGUGUGGAGCGAACGUUUGGUCAGCUAAAAGGAAGGUGGACAAUUAUGUUCCACAUUCCGUAUCGCGAUAUGAACACAGUGAAUCUCGUAAUACUUGUCUGCUGUCUGCUCCAUAAUAUAUGCGUUGGACAUCUGGACCUGUUUGACUUCGAUGAUACACCGGCGGAAAUCGUUGAGCAGAGCUACAAUGAGGAUGUACCUGUCGAAACGCCUGCUGAAGAUCGUACAGUUACAAGUACAGUACAGUGACAAUCUUUGGCGGCGCUGGGAAGGUUAUUCAGGGGUUAGCUGUAACACUGAGAUGCCGGUGGUGUGAAUCCCGCUACUCUCCAUGCACAUGGACGAACCGACAAAAUUCUACCUAUCGUUUUUACGACACGGAGCAGUCAUUUAUUGAUGUCUCACAGGACAUUUUCGUCUGCAGGAAAUUUGCUAAAGAAAUCGUGAAUAACAUAUUUUUUUAAUCACGCCACCUACGAUGGAAUCGCGGAAACAAUGAAGCAUACGUAUGGUUGGAAUAAAUUGUUCUCACGAAAAACUGUUGCUGCCAUUUUUAUGCGACAUGAAAUUGAAUGCGACAUCAGAGAACAAAAGAUCAACUUCGAGUUUGAGGAGCAGAGAAGUGUUCUGCAAUAUUUGGAAAAGCGUAUGGAUGAAAUCUUUACAAGCACGUACAAACACCGCUGUUCUGAUGAGUGCGUCGCCAAGCAGUGUGGAAAACUGUUUAUUAUGGAUGGACUUUGGAAAAUCGUAUUUCGGCACUGUAUAGCUGAAGUGCAAAAUAUCGUGAAAGGGAUUUCUCUGAUCAACUUUCCUCAAGUAUGCAUGCACUCGCCAUGUGGCAAUUCCCUGUUCUGUCUGAAACACCGCAUUUUCGAAGAAGAAGAAGAAGAAGAAAAUGGAAAAGAAAGCGAUAGAAUCACAAUCCAUAU